GAAUUACUGAGGAAUUUUUUUUUUUAUAAUUUUAACUAACUUAAGUGGUUAAAAGUCGAACAAUAAAAAUGAAUGUGGUUUUGGGAUUAUUAACAUGUUUAGGUCAAAUAUUAGCAAUGCCGACAAAUCAUGAGAGUUUUAAUAAUAAGAAUCUUGUUCAUGCUAUACUUAGAUUUCAAGAGAGCCGUCAUCCAAGAACAGAUGAGCUAGUUAAAAGGAUGAGUAAUUUUUUGUCGUUUUUUGAUCAGAAUAAAAGCGGUAAAAUAAGUCUUAAAGUUUUUUUAGCUCUUGCAAGGUAUUUAGGUCAAGACACAACACACUUGUCAAAAUCUGGAUUAAGUAUGGAUUCAAUGAUUAAUAUUAACACUCUCGUGGAGAUGACUACUUAUCCAAUGAAAAUGGUAGAAGAAAAGUUGUUAGAGAGUUUUAGACAAUUUGACACCGAAAUAAGUGGUUACAUUAGUUUACCUCACAUGCGUAGCUCAUUAAAUAGUGUCGGAAUUGAUGAUAAGUACAUAUCAAUUAUACUCUUGAAGCUUGAUUUUACAGACGAAAAACAAAAUAUUAAUUAUUCAGGUAGAGAGAAACAAAUAAUUUAUGUGUUGUAUAAAUAGCAUAUUUAGAAAAAUAAAGUGAAUAUAUCACAAGAGAAAAAAUUGAAGAGCUCAGUGUGUUAGCUAAACUUUUUGGAUUUGCUGAUAACUUUUUAAGAAUUUUUGAAGAUUUGGUUCUAAUUUUAAGCUUACAAGUUGAUAAUAUAAUAUUUUUUUUAAAUAAUUUGAUGGUUAAAUAUAUAA